ACUCCUACGGGAGGCAGCAGUGGGGAAUAUUGGACAAUGGGCGCAAGCCUGAUCCAGCCAUGCCGCGUGUGUGAUGAAGGCCUUAGGGUUGUAAAGCUCUUUUGUGCGGGAAGAUAAUGACGGUACCGCAAGAAUAAGCCCCGGCUAACUUCGUGCCAGCAGCCGCGGUAAU
rnacentral:rRNA from 1 species